rnacentral:misc_RNA from 1 species
AAGUCGUAACAAGGUUUCCGUAGGUGAACCUGCGGAGGGAUCAUUACGAGAGUUACAAAACUCCCUAAAACCCACUGUAAAUAUACCUAUUUUGGCUACUUCGGCAGGCGGUCCCAGGGCGGGGCCAUGGCCUUUUAGGCGCCUGCCAAAGCCUAUAAAACUCUUACUAUUACUGUAUUCUGAGCAUAAAAACAAAGAAGUUAAAAUUUUCAAUUGUGGAUCUCUUGGUUCUG